GUAAUCACCUAUCCAGUGGUUCUCAACCCUCGACUGCUCAUUUGAACCACAGGAGGAGCUUUUAAAACCACCAGCGUAGGGCCCAUUGUCCAGAGGUACUCAUCUACUUACUCCAGGCUGGGACUCAGGCAGCAGUAUUUCUAAAUUCCCUGGGGGACCCCAGUCCCAGUCUACUUACUGGCAGAAACAUUCUUUUGCACAUGUAGACUACAUGGGGUCAUCUUUGAGAGGAGAUUGAAUCUUCUUGGUGAGGUAAUGUGUUGAUCUUCAGAUACUUUAAGAGAACGCGAUGGCAUACUUGUGGACUAGAGAAUGAACUGCAGUGUCUACCGCACAGUCAUGAGGCCUGGCGAAGCAGCAGCCACUUGGUGACCUUGAGGCAACAAGUAGGAGGAUAAAGUCAACAUAGUAAGAAAGUCAGAACAGAAGGGAAGAAAGAACAUACAUCCUGAUUGUGUUCAGGGCUGAGUUGUUGGCUCUGGACUGCCUUGCCUCAGGCUUCUUACCAUGUGGAACAAAUAAACCCGUAUUUACAUAGGA